rnacentral:tRNA from 1 species
AUUCAAAUAGCUUAUAUAGUAGAGCGUUACACUGAAGAUGUAAAAGAAACCUUUAGGUUUUUGAAUA